GUUGUAUAAUUAUUUUAACUUAAGAAAAUUGUUCCUCCCUCUUUUACAUCAGACACCCCUAUUAGCUCAACCACAGUCUUCACAGCUGCAGUCGUCUGCCCUGCACCUGCUACACCGGCCACGACAGGUGAUACAGAUCUGCCACCCCCAGCAGUUCAGCUGCAGUCACAGCAGUCCUCUGCUGUGGUAUUUAAUUUACCGGCUGCACCAGUUCCUACUACACUGGCCGUGAAGGGAGAAACGUUUUCUGGAUUCCCAGAUGGAUACAGAUCUGCCAUGCCCUCCACCACUGGCUGACAGUAUAUAAAUAAAACACAACAUUCACACACAUUAUCCACAAUGUAAAUAAGUUGUAAUUACUUGUUUAUUUUAUGUAUGCUCCAUUUUUUAUUUGAGGAUUGUGUGCAAUAAAGUACA